UACGUGAGGUGACCAGCGUUGUCCGGAUUUACUGGGCGUAAAGAGCGCGCAGGCGGUCGUUCAAGUCGAGUGUGAAAGCCCCCGGCUCAACUGGGGAGGGUCACUCGAUACUGAUCGACUUGAAGGCAGGAGAGGGGAAGCGGAAUUCCCGGUGUAGUGGUGAAAUGCGUAGAUAUCGGGAGAACACCAGUGGCGAAGGCGGCUUCCUGGCCUGUUCUUGACGCUGAGGCGGCGAAAGCUG
rnacentral:rRNA from 1 species